rnacentral:rRNA from 1 species
CAGCAGCCGCGGGAAUACGGAGGGUGCAAGCGUUAAUCGGAAUUACUGGGCGUAAAGCGUGCGUAGGCGGUUCGUUAAGUCUGUUGUGAAAGCCCCGGGCUCAACCUGGGAAUGGCAAUGGAUACUGGCGAGCUAGAGUGUGUCAGAGGAUGGUGGAAUUCCCGGUGUAGCGGUGAAAUGCGUAGAGAUCGGGAGGAACAUCAGUGGCGAAGGCGGCCAUCUGGGACAACACUGACGCUGAGGCACGAAAGCGUGGGGAGCAAACAGGAUUAGAGACCCCGGUAGUCCCUGUCUCUUAUAC